GUGAAAUCCCUGGGCUUAACCUGGGCAGGUCAGAUGAUACUGUUUAACUCGAGUAUGGGAGAGGGUAGUGGAAUUUCCGGUGUAGCGGUGAAAUGCGUAGAGAUCGGAAGGAACACCAGUGGCGAAGGCGGCUACCUGGCCUAAUACUGACACUGAGGCACGAAAGCGUGGGGAGCAAACAGGAUUAGAUACCCCGGUAGUCCACGCCGUAAACGAUGUCAACUAGCUGUUGGUUAUAUGAAAAUAAUUAGUGGCGCAGCAAACGCGAUAAGUUGACCGCCUGGGGAGUACGGUCGCAAGAUUAAAACUCAAAGGAAUUGACGGGGGCCCGCACAAGCGGUGGAGCAUGUGGUUUAAUUCGAUGCAACGCG
rnacentral:rRNA from 1 species